rnacentral:lncRNA from 1 species
AAUUGUGGUUCCUGAAUUCUAGACCCAAUUCAGAGAUCCAAUUGGGGUGUUACACACUGAAGACAUCCAUUUCAUUUUAUUUUAUUUUUUUGAAAGGGGAGAACCUGCUCGCCUGGCAUCUACAUCAGGGUAAUGCAUCCAACCCAAUAUGCACCGGGAACUAACACGGCAAAGAGAUGAUGUGACGAGAAUUGAGGCCCUAGGAGCAAGAACCCGACCAUGGACGAUUGGUAUAAAGAACAGUUAGUGCAGUGAGAUGACUGUCAAAUAUGUUGGUUGACCUUGAUUGGCUUCUAGACACAUGAUAUAAGGCCCAAUCGUGGGUUUCUAAAUCAUGCCUUCCGUCAGAGAAAAGACAAGUACCAGCAACACGUUACUACUACGUUUGUCAGGUCCAAAAUUCUUCUUAUCCUCGGGGGUCAACCGACAUCACGGUCGAUCAUGCUAAUGAUUCAACGUAACAAGGCAAGCUGGACUAUGGAGUUCAUUGAUUACCCAGUUUCGGCUUCCAGAGAAUGAACGGUUCGUUCUUCAACUCAGGGGGUGUGGGGUACGACCGUUUGAAUAUCUUCGGCCUGCCAAUACCAAGCAGAAGUUUGCAUCUCUUUUUGAGACAGAUCCUUUUAUUUGGAUUGCUAAUUCAUUGAGCAAAGUGGGUAACAGAUAUACUCCGUACUUCAGAAGACUUCAAAAUCGGACACUACAAGACAGACAUCAUGUAACGGAGCUUUUCCAAGGCAAGAUGGGCCUUGGGCCUUGGCCCUUCCGAAACCACUGUGAAAGAAUGACACCUACAAAUUGGGC